rnacentral:SRP_RNA from 1 species
GCUGGGCAUGGUGGUGCGUGCCUGUAAUCCCAGCUACUGGGGAGGCUGAGACAGGAGAAUGGCUUGAACCCAGGAGGCAGAGGUUGCAGUGAGCCGAGAUUGUGCCACUGCACUCCAGCCUGGGUGACAAAGCAAGACUCCGUCUCAA